AAAUGAUUUGCAACGGUUGCGUCCGGUGUAGAAUCAACUAAUUCAGAGAGCUGCGUAGUAAAACAAGAUCUUACCAGCCUCCAGAUAUGUGGGUGGUGGUCCUGGUACAUAUGGUGGUCCCAGAGUUGGUCCAGUCGGAAUGGGUUGCAAUCCAUAAGCUGGGAGAAGGUUAUUAGCCUGGUAAGGCAGCAGGAGAUGAACACAAUAAAGGCCAUCACGAAAAACACUAUGGUCAC